rnacentral:rRNA from 1 species
ACGUACGCUGGCGGCACGCCUAACACAUGCAAGUCGAACGAAGUAGCAAUACUUAGUGGCAGACGGGUGAGUAACAUGUGGGUAUCUGCCCUUUGGCCUGGAAUAACACGAGGAAACUUGUGCUAAUACCGGAUAAGUCUUUACGGAGAAAGCUUUAUGCACCAUUGGAUGAGCCUGCACUUGAUUAGUUUGUUGGUGGGGUAAUGGCCUACCAAGACUGUGAUCAAUAGCUGAUUUGAGAGGAUGAUCAGCCACAUUGGGACUGAGACACGGCCCAAACUCCUACGGGAGGCAGCAGUGGGGAAUCUUGCACAAUGGAGGAAACUCUGAUGCAGCGAUGCCGCGUGAGUGAAGAAGGCCCUUGGGUUGUAAAGCUCUUUCGUCGGGGAAGAAAAUGACUGUACCCGAAUAAGAAGGUCCGGCUAACUUCGUGCCAGCAGCCGCGGUAAUACGAAGGGACCUAGCGUAGUUCGGAAUUACUGGGCUUAAAGAGCUCGUAGGUGGUUAGAAAAGUUGGUGGUGAAAUCCCAAGGCUUAACCUUGGAACUGCCAUCAAAACUUUUUAACUAGAGUAUGAGUGAGGUAAGCGGAAUUUCUAGUGUAGAGGUGAAAUUCGUAGAUAUUAGAAAGAACACCAAAUGCGAAGGCAACUUUCUGGAUCAUUACUGACACUGAGGAGCGAAAGCAUGGGUAGCGAAGAGGAUUAGAUACCCUCGUAGUCCAUGCCGUAAACGAUGUGUGCUAGACGUUGGAAAUAUAUUUUUCAGUGUCGCAGCGAAAGCAUUAAGCACACCGCCUGGGGAGUACGACCGCAAGGUUAAAACUCAAAUGAAUUGACGGGGACCCGCACAAGCAGUGGAGCAUGUGGUUUAAUUCGAAGAUACGCGCAGAACCUUACCAACUCUUGACAUGUUCGUCGCGAGCCUAAGAGAUUAGGCUCUUCAGUUUGGCUGGACGAAACACAGGUGCUGCAUGGCUGUCGUCAGCUCGUGUCGUGAGAUGUUGGGUUAAGUCCCGCAACGAGCGCAACCCCUACUUUUAGUUGCCACCAUUUAGUUGGGCACUUUAAAAGAACUGCCAGUGAUAAGCUGGAGGAAGGCGGGGAUGACGUCAAGUCCUCAUGGCCCUUACGUGUUGGGCUACACACGUGCUACAAUGGUACUCACAAUGAGAUGCGAAGAGGCGACUCUAAGCCAAUCCCAAAAAGGUACCUCAGUUCGGAUUGUACUCUGCAACUCGAGUACAUGAAGCUGGAAUUGCUAGUAAUCGCGGAUCAGCGCGCCGCGGUGAAUACGUUCCCGGGUCUUGUACACACCGCCCGUCA